GUGUAGAACCGGGCCAGGAGCGUGGUUAGUAGGUAGUGGGGUGGGGUGGUCGGUGAGUACUGGGAGUAAAGAGUGCGGUGGUGGGUUGUCGCGUGGUUCGUGGAAUCUCGCGGCUUAACUGGGAGGGUGCGGGGGAGACGGGGAGACUGGAGUACGGCAGGGGAGACUGGAAUUCCUGGUGUAGCGGUGGAAUGCGCAGAUAUCAGGAGGAACACCGGUGGCGAAGGCGGGUCUCUGGGCAGUAACUGACGCUGAGGAGCGAAAGCGUGGGGAGCGAACAGGAUUAGAAACCUAGUAGUC
rnacentral:rRNA from 1 species